rnacentral:rRNA from 1 species
GAUGAACGCUGGCGGCGUGCUUAACACAUGCAAGUCGAACGAAGCACUUCGAUUUCUUCGGAUUGAGGAGUGACUGAGUGGCGGACGGGUGAGUAACGCGUGGGUAACCUGCCUCAUACAGGGGGAUAACAGUUGGAAACGACUGCUAAUACCGCAUAACAUUCACGGACCGCAUGAUCUGUGAAUCAAAGCUUUAUGUGCUGGAAGAUGGCCUCGCGUCUGAUUAGGUAGUUGGUGAGGUAACGGCCCACCAAGCCGACGAUCAGUAGCCGACCUGAGAGGGUGAUCGGCCACAUUGGAACUGAGACACGGUCCAAACUCCUACGGGAGGCAGCAGUGGGGAAUAUUGGGCAAUGGGCGCAAGCCUGACCCAGCAACGCCGCGUGAGGGAAGAAGGUUUUCGGAUUGUAAACCUCUGUCCUAAGUGAAGAGCAGAAGACGGUAGCUUAGGAGGAAGCCCCGGCUAACUACGUG